GAGCCGUAUGCCCGAAUCGGGCCCGUACGGAUCUGUGCGGGGGGUGGCCGGUAACGGGCAUCUCUACCGCGAU
rnacentral:misc_RNA from 1 species